rnacentral:ncRNA from 1 species
AACCCCCCGAUUUCUAGCUAUCAACUUGGCGGAAGGUGACUAGACAUCGAGGGGUUAGGUAUAAACCUAUGAAGGAUUAUAACGCAUGUUUGCUCUAAAACAACCCCAUUCUGCCAUA